GCAGCUAAAAGUUCAGUACAUGAAAAUUCAUCUUUUAAACAAAACCAGAUAACUCUAAAGCCAAAUAUAAUCUAUUUAGGAGAGACAGCAUAAUCAAGUCUGAUACCGUACAAGAAAAAUAAAUAUACCCAUGAUCAAAACAGAGACUGCAAUUUCUUCCCAGCAAAAAGAAACAAGGAACCGCAUCAUCAAUCACCCUUUCUCCUAAAAGA
rnacentral:misc_RNA from 1 species